rnacentral:rRNA from 1 species
GUGGGGAAUAUUGGACAAUGGGCGCAAGCCUGAUCCAGCCAUACCGCGUGGGUGAAGAAGGCCUUCGGGUUGUAAAGCCCUUUUGUUGGGAAAGAAAAGCAGUCGGUUAAUACCCGAUUGUUCUGACGGUACCCAAAGAAUAAGCACCGGCUAACUUCGUGCCAGCAGCCGCGGUAAUACGAAGGGUGCAAGCGUUACUCGGAAUUACUGGGCGUAAAGCGUGCGUAGGUGGUUGUUUAAGUCUGUCGUGAAAGCCCUGGGCUCAACCUGGGAAUUGCGAUGGAAACUGGGCGACUAGAGUGUGGCAGAGGAUAGUGGAAUUCCUGGUGUAGCAGUGAAAUGCGUAGAGAUCAGGAGGAACAUCCGUGGCGAAGGCGACUGUCUGGGCCAACACUGACACUGAGGCACGAAAGCGUGGGGAGCAAACAGG